UGGGGAAUAUUGCACAAUGGGCGCAAGCCUGAUGCAGCCAUGCCGCGUGUGUGAAGAAGGCCUUCGGGUUGUAAAGCACUUUCAGCGAGGAGGAAGGUGGUGAGCUUAAUACGCUCAUCAAUUGACGUUACUCGCAGAAGAAGCACCGGCUAACUCCGUGCCAGCAGCCGCGGUAAUACGGAGGGUGCAAGCGUUAAUCGGAAUUACUGGGCGUAAAGCGCNCGCAGCGGUUUGUUAAGUCAGAUGUGAAAUCCCCGGGCUCAACCUGGGAACUGCAUUUGAAACUGGCAAGCUAGAGUCUCGUAGAGGGGGGCUAGAAUUCCAGGUGUAGCGGUGAAAUGCGUAGAGAUCUGGAGGAAUACCGGUGGCGAAGGCGGCCCCCCUGGACGAAGACUGACGCUCAGGUGCGAAAGCGUGGGGCAGCAAACAGGAUUAGAUA
rnacentral:rRNA from 1 species